UACGUAGGGUGCAAGCGUUAAUCGGAAUUACUGGGCGUAAAGCGUGCGCAGGCGGUGUUGUAAGUCUGUUGUGAAAUCCCCGGGCUCAACCUGGGAACUGCAUCUGUGACUGCAUCGCUGGAGUGCGGAAGAGGGGGAUGGAAUUCCGCGUGUAGCAGUGAAAUGCGUAGAUAUUGGGAAGAACACCGGUGGCGAAGGCGGCUCUCUGGACCGACACUGACGCUGAGGCGCGAAAGCGUGGGGAGCAAACAGG
rnacentral:rRNA from 1 species